AGGUGCUGGACUUUCUGAUGUUCUGAUUGAAAUGAAAUCUAAGGACAAACACAGAAGGAAGAGCAGUGAGUCUGGAGACACUCUGUACUCUGAACUGAACCACAACAGAGAUAGAGAUGCUGAUGCUGGAGUUGGUGAUGCAACUUAUGCUCUAGCUUUUUGGAAGAAGGGUCACAAAAAGAUUAAAACACGUCCCUGAGUGCAGAGAAGACAACAGACGGCUAAAAGAGAUUCACACCAGCAGACACAGUAACGCUUGCAUUGCUUAAGAAAUGUGAACUGCUUAUGCACAUGCUUGACUGAAAGACUUUAGAGAUAGGCACUGUAUUAUCUGUACACAUUA